rnacentral:rRNA from 1 species
AUCCUGGCUCAGGAUGAACGCUAGCUACAGGCUUAACACAUGCAAGUCGAGGGGAAACGAUAGAGAAAGCUUGCUUUUUCUAGGCGUCGACCGGCGCACGGGUGAGUAACGCGUAUCCAACCUGCCCAUCACUUGGGGAUAACCUUGCGAAAGUAAGACUAAUACCCAAUGACGUCUCUAGAAGACAUCUGAAGGAGAUUAAAGAUUUAUCGGUGAUGGAUGGGGAUGCGUCUGAUUAGCUUGUUGGCGGGGUAACGGCCCACCAAGGCGACGAUCAGUAGGGGUUCUGAGAGGAAGGCCCCCCACAUUGGAACUGAGACACGGUCCAAACUCCUACGGGAGGCAGCAGUGAGGAAUAUUGGUCAAUGGACGAGAGUCUGAACCAGCCAAGUAGCGUGCAGGAUGACGGCCCUAUGGGUUGUAAACUGCUUUUAUAAGGGAAUAAAGUGAGUCUCGUGAGACUUUUUGCAUGUACCUUAUGAAUAAGGACCGGCUAAUUCCGUG